UUAGAGUGUUCUCUGGGAAAGUAAUGCAGGCGACUCGCAUCUUACGCUGGGGUUACGUUCCGCUGUCAGCGCGUAAAGUGAAAAUCGUGUAUAGUCAAAAUUACAUUGCGUGUAAUGGCGGGCGGAAUCAUCCGCACUACAGGUACAGUAUUUAAAUUAUUAUUAUUAUUUUUUCGUUUUUGCUGACCACACAAAGCUGAAUUCGUGCAUGUUAAAUGCAUGUAAGAUGAGACUCGCCUGCAGAUAAGAGUCC